UGGAACUCUGGUUCUGAAACUUACCUACAUACUCACAACACCUAGGGAACUUUAAAAGACACUGCAGCCUAGUUCCCACCUAGCUUUACCUAUUGAAUAGGUUUUGGCUGUGUCCUGGGCACAAGGAUGUCAAGGAUUCUGCAGGUGGUUCUCCUAAGCAAUCAAGGUAGAGAACAACUAACUCCAUGUUGGAAAGACCAAGAGAUGUAUGUUGGGGACAAGGCAAACUUCCAGCACAAGGAGGUUUCCAUAGCAUGGUUAAUACUAUUACUACUGAGAUAUAAUUCAUUUACCAGAAGUCAGACUUUGAAAGUGUGCAACUCAGUGGGUUUUAGUAUAAUCAUGAAGUUAUGCCACCAUCACCACUGUGUUCAUGUGAUUAUUUUAAGGAUGUGGAGAGGUCUGAUGUUUAGAAGGCAAAGGCAGGAGCAGUCCCCUGCUUUGUAAUAGCAUCCUGUUGAGACAGGGUAAGGAGAUCAGGGCAGCUUGAUUUGACCUCAGCCUAGGAGAGAUGUG
rnacentral:lncRNA from 1 species